UCAGGAAGUUCUGUGAGGACUGUUUUUCAUGCUGCCGGAGGAGGAGAAGUAAUCGAGUGGCUCCAGCCAGUGAACCAGAAGAAACAAAAGUAUCCUCCUCCGAGGACUCCUGGGAUUUGGAGACUUGGCGUUUCUGGAGGGUAUCAGCCCCGCAGACC